CUAGUUCCUUGCCAUUCCUCAAGAACAAGAGCCGUGUGAGGAAUUCUGAGACUGACAGCUGUAAAAAAGGAAAAGGAAAAUGAAACGCAGUGCUGACAUCCUUUGAUUGAAUCCUCAGUUUGAAGAUGAGCAAACUGAAGCUCGGAGUGGUCACAUGCCUGGCCCAUGGUCACACGGCAGAUAAAUGGUGGAGCCAGGUUUUGAUCCCAUCCAUUGAGCUGCAGCUAGACCUCUGACUCAUUGAUUGACCAAAAUUUGAGUUGUGAGAUUUGAAACGAGGACUGAUAUCAGAAAACUGUGUUUGAAAUUACAAAUCACAACUGAUUAAAAAAAGGAAAGAAAGAAGAGAAAAGGAAAGAAAAAAGAAAAGAAAGAAUGGAAGAACAAGUCCAGGAUACACAAUCACUAUGACAUGUGGCCCCUGCCUGGGAGAAGAGCCAGAGCAUGUGAAGAUUAAGAAGUAGGCUGGUAAUUCAAUCCUAGAAGGAAAUUGAAAUAUUAAAGAAGCAAUCUAUUGCUGCAAUCACAUCAGACUUGGCUCUUCCAAUGGCAAUGAGAAGCUCCAUCACGGGUGGAAAUGGACCUAGGGAAAGCUUCCUGAAUAAAGUGGCAUUUCAAUUGAACAUCGAUGGAUCAAGUGCGAAGGGAGUUGGAGACAGCUUGGGGACUGAAAAGUAUG